rnacentral:rRNA from 1 species
CCUACGGGAGGCAGCAGUGGGGAAUAUUGCACAAUGGGCGCAAGCCUGAUGCAGCCAUGCCGCGUGUGUGAAGAAGGCCUUCGGGUUGUAAAGCACUUUCAGCGGGGAGGAAGGCGUUAAGGUUAAUAACCUUGUCGAUUGACGUUACCCGCAGAAGAAGCACCGGCUAACUCCGUGCCAGCAGCCGCAGUAAUACGGAGGGUGCAAGCGUUAACCGGAAUUACUGGGCGUAAAGCGCACGCAGGCGGUCUGUCAAGUCGGAUGUGAAAUCCCCGGGCUCAACCUGGGAACUGCAUUCGAAACUGGCAGGCUAGAGUCUUGUAGAGGGGGGUAGAAUUCCAGGUGUAGCGGUGAAAUGCGUAGAGAUCUGGAGGAAUACCGGUGGCGAAGGCGGCCCCCUGGACAAAGACUGACGCUCAGGUGCGAAAGCGUGGGGAGCAAACAGGAUUAGAUACCCCAGUAGUC